UACGUAGGGUGCAAGCGUUGUCCGGAAUUAUUGGGCGUAAAGAGCUCGUAGGCGGUUUGUCGCGUCUGCUGUGAAAACUCGGGGCUUAACCCCGAGCCUGCUUCUGAUACGGGCAGACUAGAGGUAUGCAGGGGAGAACGGAAUUCCUGGUGUAGCGGUGAAAUGCGCAGAUAUCAGGAGGAACACCGACGGCGAAGGCAGCUUACUGGGCCGAUACUGACGCUGAGGAGCGAAAGCGUGGGGAGCGAACAGG
rnacentral:rRNA from 1 species